rnacentral:rRNA from 1 species
CAGUCGCCGCGGUAACACGAAGGGUGCAAGCGUUACUCGGAAUUACUGGGCGUAAAGCGUGCGUAGGUGGUGGUUUAAGUCCGUUGUGAAAGCCCUGGGCUCAACCUGGGAAUUGCAGUGGAUACUGGGUCACUAGAGUGUGGUAGAGGAUAGUGGAAUUUCCGGUGUAGCAGUGAAAUGCGUAGAGAUCGGAAGGAACAUCUGUGGCGAAGGCGACUAUCUGGGCCAACACUGACACUGAGGCACGAAAGCGUGGGGAGCAAACAGGAUUAGAGACCCCUGUAGUCCCUGUCUCUUAUAC